UGGGGAAUUUUGCACAAUGGGGGAAACCCUGAUGCAGCGACGCCGCGUGAUUUAGAAGGCCUUCGGGUUGUAAAAAUCUUUUCUAUGGGAAGAAAAUGACAGUACCAUAGGAAUAAGGACCGGCUAAUUACGUGCCAGCAGCCGCGGUAAUACGUAAGGUCCGAGCGUUGUCCGGAAUCAUUGGGCGUAAAGGGUACGUAGGCGGGUAAGCAAGUUAGAAGUGAAAUCCUGUAGCUCAACUACAGUAAGCUUUUAAAACUGCUCAUCUUGAGAUAUGGAAGGGAAAGUGGAAUUCCUAGUGUAGCGGUGAGAUGCGCAGAUAUUAGGAAGAAUACCGGUGGCGAAGGCGACUUUCUGGCCAUAAUCUGACGCUGUGGUACGAAAGCGUGGGUAGCAAACAGG
rnacentral:rRNA from 1 species